rnacentral:rRNA from 1 species
AAGCGGUCGGAGUCCGUUUAACGGAUGACGGCGUGCCUUUUGCAUAAUGAUCCUACGAGUUACACCUCAUUGGCAAGGUUAAGUAUUUAAGAUACGAAUCCGAAGCGAAAGCAAGUCUGAAUAGGGCGCAUUAGUCAGUGGGGGUAGACGCGAAACCUUGUGAUCUACCCAUGGCCAGGUUGAAGUUCCGGUAACACGGAAUGGAGGACCGAACCAGUAAACGUUGAAAAGUUUUUGGAUGAGCUGUGGGUAGGGGUGAAAGGCCAAUCAAACCGGGAGAUAGCUCGUACUCCCCGAAAUGCUUUUAGGAGCAGCCUCGAGGUAAAGUGUCAUAGAGGUAGAGCUACCAAUUGGGCUAGGGGGCUUCACCGCCUACCAAACCCUGAUGAACUCCGAAUGCUAUGACAUAUACUCGGGAGUGAGGCGAUGGGUGCUAAGGUCCUUCGCCAAAAGGGAAAGAACCCAGACCAUCAGCUAAGGUCCCUAAAUAUAUACUAAGUUGUACUAACGUUGUCUAAUCGCUAUAACAGCUAGGAUGUUGGCUUGGAAGCAGCCAUUCAUUUAAAGAGUGCGUAACAGCUCACUAGUCGAGUAAUUGGGCGCGGAAAAUAAUCGGGCAUCAAGUAUAUUACCGAAGCUAUGGACUCCGACUUGUCGGAGUGGUAGGGGAGCAUACCAGUCGCACUGAAGUCAUAUUGUAAGAUAUGGUGGAGCAACUGGUAAAGAAAAUGUAGGCAUAAGUAACGAUAAAACCAGUGAGAAACUGGUUCGCCAAUAGACUAAGGGUUCCUGAUCAACGCUAAUCGGAUCAGGGUUAGUCGGGACCUAAGGUGUACCCGAAAGGGGAAGCCGAUGGAAAACAGGUCAAUAUUCCUGUACUGACUUUUACUGCGAUGGGGUAACGAAGAAGUGACAGAUCUGCGUACUGACGGAAUAGUACGUUGAAGGGUGUAGGUGUUGAGAUUGGUAGGUAAAUCCGCCAGUCGAGCUGAAACCCGACAGUACCGCAAACCUUCGGGCAAGCGGAUAAUGAUCGUAAUCUUGCUUCCAAGAAAAACCUCUAAGCUUCAGGUAAAAGCCACCCGUACCGUAAACCGACACAGGUAGUCAAGAAGAGAAUUCUAAGGCGCUCGAGUGAUUCAUGGCUAAGGAACUAGGCAAAAUGGACCUGUAACUUCGGGAGAAAGGUCCCCUCGAUUUAUCGGGGGCGCAGUUAAUUGGCCCAGGCGACUGUUUAACAAAAACACAGGACUUUGCAAACACGAAAGUGGAAGUAUAAGGUCUGACACCUGCCCGGUGCCGGAAGGUUAAGGAAGCGUGUCAUCCCGUUCGCGGGAGAAGCUAGCGACCGAAGCCCCGGUAAACGGCGGCCGUAACUAUAACGGUCCUAAGGUAGCGAAAUUCCUUGUCGGGUAAGUUCCGACCUGCACGAAUGGUGUAACGAUCUGGGCACUGUCUCGGCCAUGAGCUCGGUGAAAUUGUAGUACCGGUGAAGAUGCCGGUUACCCGCAACGGGACGGAAAGACCCCGUGAACCUUCACUACAGCUUAACAUUGACUUUGGAUAAAUGAUGUGUAGGAUAGGUGGGAGACUACGAAGCGGUGGCGCUAGCCAUUGUGGAGUCGUCCUUGAAAUACCACCCUUCAUUUAUUUAGAGCCUAAUCCCGUUUUCGGGAAACAGUGUUUGGUGGGUAGUUUGACUGGGGUGGUCGCCUCCAAAAGCGUAACGGAGGCUCCCAAAGGUGCCCUCAGCACGGUUGGUAAUCGUGCUUAGAGUGUAAUAGCAUAAGGGCGCUUGACUGCAAGACCUACAAGUCGAGCAGGUACGAAAGUAGGGUAUAGUGAUCCGGUGGUUCCGAAUGGAAGGGCCAUCGCUCAAAGGAUAAAAGGUACUCCGGGGAUAACAGGCUGAUCUCCCCCAAGAGCUCACAUCGACGGGGAGGUUUGGCACCUCGAUGUCGGCUCGUCACAUCCUGGGGCUGGAGAAGGUCCCAAGGGUUGGGCUGUUCGCCCAUUAAAGUGGCACGCGAGCUGGGUUCAGAACGUCGCAAGACAGUUCGGUCUCUAUCUGUUGUGGGCGUAGGAAUAUUGAGAAGAUUUGACCCUAGUACGAGAGGACCGGGUUGAACGUACCGCUAGUGUAUCUGUUGUCCAGCCGUGGGCAUUGCAGAGUAGCUAUGUGCGGAAUGGAUAAGCGCUGAAAGCAUCUAAGCACGAAGCCAACUUCAAGAUGAGUAUUCCAUGAAGGGACGUUAAAGAUGAUGACGUAGAUAGGUUGU